AUUGAACGCUGGCGGCAGGCCUAACACAUGCAAGUCGAACGAGUGGCGGACGGGUGAGUAAUGUCUGGGAAACUGCCUGAUGGAGGGGGAUAACUACUGGAAACGGUAGCUAAUACCGCAUACCAUCAGAUGUGCCCAGAUGGGAUUAGUUUGUUGGUGGGGUAACGGCUCACCAAGGCGACGAUCACGAGCUGGUCUGAGAGGAGGACCAGCCACACUGGAACGUGGAAACGGUCCAGACUCCUACGGGAGGAAGCAGUGGGGAAUAUUGGACAAGGGGCGCAAGCCUGAUGCAGCCAUGCCGCUGGGAUGAAGAAGGCCUUCGGGUUGUAAAGUACUUUCAGCGGGGAGGCGUUACCCGCAGAAGAAGCACCGGCUAACUCCGUGCCAGCAGCCGCGGUAAUUC
rnacentral:rRNA from 1 species